UACGUAGGGUGCGAGCGUUGUCCGGAAUUAUUGGGCGUAAAGAGCUCGUAGGCGGUCUGUCGCGUCGGCUGUGAAAACCCGGGGCUCAACCCCGGGCCUGCAGUCGAUACGGGCAGACUAGAGUGCGGUAGGGGAGACUGGAAUUCCUGGUGUAGCGGUGAAAUGCGCAGAUAUCAGGAGGAACACCGGUGGCGAAGGCGGGUCUCUGGGCCGUAACUGACGCUGAGGAGCGAAAGCAUGGGGAGCAAACAGG
rnacentral:rRNA from 1 species